CCAAGAUGGCCACUGCAAGAGAAGAAUAUUUUCCCCGUCAGAACUUGACUGGCUGAAAGCAGAGAACCCAGGAGAGGAAUCUGGGAAGGUCCUUGGGGAUGGUAAAGCCACCAGAUAGGAGAUAUGAGUUCUCUAAGGGCAAAGACCUGUUCUCGCUUCUUCAUUCUUGUGACCUCAGUGCCUUGAAUGGUGCCUGGCAUAUGGAAGGCAUUUGUGUUUUAACAACCAUCUGGCAAGAUUCCUGAAAUUUUGACACUCACCUCUCAUGAGCCCAGUACAAGCUGGUUUUGGAAUUUGGGUCCAAAGGAGAAGAACAAAAUGCUCAGUGUAUUAGAGGAAUAUCCGAACUCUGAGGAGAACACAAGACUCCUGGUUCCUACUCUAUCCCCUACUCUGGCAGAAGAAGUGCCCUAAAUGGGUCUGAGAAAAACAAGUGGACUUCUUUAACCAUCACAAUAACAAAAAGUGUUCUUUCUAGGCAGCAGAUAAAACACGGGAGAGUGGGGCAGUUGGGAGAAGGGAGGGAACACUACUGAGUGCUCCUCAGGACCCAAGCACUGUGUGCAGCGCCUUCCGCUGUUUCCCUCACACAGUGCUUGAGAACCUCUGAAGUAGGCAGUCUGACAGCCAAGAAGUGCUAGAACUGUGUUUUAAAUUGAUCUGCUGGAAACCAAAGACCCUAUGCUGUGCUGAUGCCAUGCCUGUCCUUCACAGAUUAGAACACAGAAGUCUGGAAUUGGGUCAUCCUCACCUCACGACACCCAACACAAGAACGGUUCCCAGCACAGAAGAGAGUCCACAAAUGCUUGUUGAAUACAGUAAUUUCAGAACAAUGAGUUAACAUCUGAGUGUUUGUCUUGCAGCGUGUCAGUUGGGAAGAAACUCCACAACUACCCCAGGUCUAGUGAUACUCCUUGAGUCGACUCAGAAGCAGAUAAUGGGAGACACCAAUCCUUGUAUUGUAUUAACAGCUACUGGUUUACUCAUAAGUGGCACUGCUUGUCAGCACUCUUUGGCACGCUGUGAAGUCAGAUGCAGAAGUUGGAAAUCUGUAUGCUGACUGAGGAGAUAUGAUUGUGCUGAUUAAGAUGUGCAGUGAAGAGAGAAGUGAACCCCAUGGCUCAGCGACACAGUGUGGACAGAGGAAUUGUCUUCAUGAACAAGUGUUGGAAGAGAAGACCUGAGGAACCCAGAAACAUGGCCGGCCUGAUCCUCGCCAUGCUGUCCAAGAUAGAGCUGGCUUAGGUGGGGUGCCUCUGCCAGGACUGUUUCUGCCUUAAUCCUGCCUUGAAGGCUCAGGUGAACCUGAUUUUGUCUUGGGGUUCAGGGAGGGAACAUCAAGAUAUGGUAGAGGAUACAUAGCACACUUUACCCUGAGCCAGAAUCCCCGGGACAAGACCCUAGCCCCUUCUCCUGACUCCUAACCCCCAGCUGCCAGCUACCCACAAUCCUCUGGGUGUCUUCCUGUGGAAGGUGAAGACUCAGCUAGGAAAAGAAUUGAGCGAUACUGUUGUCAAGGGGGAUUUCACAGGGGUGUUCCAUUGGCCACUGGGAGAAAAACGUGUAUUAAAAUUUUUUUCUGAGGAAAUUGAAAUCCAAACAUCUGCCUAACCAAGCCUAGAUGGAAAGUGAAUCUUGACUCCAUAUUAAACACAUCAGUCCUGAAAGAGAAGGAUAAGUCCUUACGUUAAUAGGAGCAGUGAGGCUUCUCUGCAGGUUUUAGAGUAGUUCUGAGUAAAAAACAAGAGUGGUCAGAAUCCAUUAAGAAUCUGAAAAUAUAGUAUAGCUGAGAACUCUGCUCUCCUCCUUUACUAAAUUAUUUAUCUGGGCUACUGAUAAUUAAUUUAUCGAAUUCCCUAGUUUCCCCACCCUCUCAUUUAUACAUGUGGUUUCUCAGCAAUGGACAGGGAAGGGAGUCUGAGACACAGGGAGUCAUGGGUGGUCUAUACUCUGGAUGGCGACUAAUUGAGACUUGGCUGUCUUUCAUGAUAUGCCUUUUAUGGAUGGAGGCAAAAGAAGUACUCAGUGAUCUCAAGGAAUACUCCAGGGUCUCCCAGCCAGUUUGGCUAGGAAAAACUGACCAAUAAGUAAACAUUGACUGAGUACCUACUCUGUGGCAGGCACAGUGUAAGGCUUUGGGUAUACAUGGUCCCUGCCUUCACAGAACUCAGUCUGGCGAGGAAGGUAGAUUUUUAAACAAAUAAACACACCAACUUGCAUAAUUUGCAGAUUGUGAUGAAUGAGGAACUACUAUGAGACAGUUAACAGUGGGGAUAUGAUACAGAUAGGGGAGUUGGGGUCAAGAAAGUUCUCUCUGACGAGGUGACAGAUAAAGCCUAGAACACUGCUUCUCAAAUUGCAAUGUGCAUCAGAAUCACCUGGAGAGUUUGUUAAAAAAAUAAAAAAGGUUCUCUGGGUACCCUCCCCACCAGA